rnacentral:rRNA from 1 species
CCUACGGGUGGCAGCAGUGGGGAAUAUUGGACAAUGGGCGAAAGCCUGAUCCAGCCAUGCCGCGUGUGUGAAGAAGGCCUUCGGGUUGUAAAGCACUUUCAGUGGGGAAGAAAGCCUUGGGGCUAAUACCCUCGAGGAAGGACAUCACCCACAGAAGAAGCACCGGCUAACUCCGUGCCAGCAGCCGCGGUAAUACGGAGGGUGCGAGCGUUAAUCGGAAUUACUGGGCGUAAAGCGCGCGUAGGCGGUCUGAUAAGCCGGUUGUGAAAGCCCCGGGCUCAACCUGGGAACGGCAUCCGGAACUGUCAGGGUAGAGUGCAGGAGAGGAAGGUAGAAUUCCCGGUGUAGCGGUGAAAUGCGUAGAGAUCGGGAGGAAUACCAGUGGCGAAGGCGGCCUUCUGGACUGACACUGACGCUGAGGUGCGAAAGCGUGGGUAGCAAACAGGAUUAGAUACCCGGGUCGUC